UACGUAGGUGACCAGCGUUGUCCGGAUUUACUGGGCGUAAAGAGCGCGCAGGCGGUCGUUCAAGUCGAGUGUGAAAGCCCCCGGCUCAACUGGGGAGGGUCACUCGAUACUGAUCGACUGGAAGGCAGGAGAGGGAAGCGGAAUUCCCGGUGUAGUGGUGAAAUGCGUAGAUAUCGUGAGGAAGACCAGUGGCGAAGGCGAAUCUCUGGACAGUUCCUGACGCUCAUGCACGAAGGCCAGGGGAGCAAACGGG
rnacentral:rRNA from 1 species